GCGAGCGUGGCGGAACUGGCAGACGCGCAAGGUUUAGGUCCUUGUGUCCGGAAGGACGUGGAGGUUCGACCCCUCUCGCUCGCA
rnacentral:tRNA from 1 species